GACCUCAGGUCAGGCGGGGCUACCCGCUGAG
rnacentral:rRNA from 9 species